rnacentral:sRNA from 12 species
CCCGAGCUGUCGUAAAAGCCCAACCCAAUGGGUCUUUCCUGCAAAGGUUGGCAGCAAAUAACGCCAUGCGCACGCAGGGGCGUUAUGUUGUGCCGGCUGAAAAAUAGCCGGCGUA